CAGAAGCGUAUGCUAAAGUUGUUGCAGCUAAAAGCUCGUAGUUAAGUUUCGGGUUUUGGCGUUGAUCGAUUGGUUGGGGCAUUUUGUUCCUUUUGAUUUGUUGUCGACGCCGCCCUCCUCCAGCGGUAUAAUUCUUAUGUCGUUGGUCUCUCACUGUAACUAAAUUAGAGUGUUUCAAGCAGGUCGUUCUGACCGGUAUACUUCUUACGGGAUGAUAAGAUAGGACUAGCGUGCUAUUUUGUUGCGUUUGCACACGCGAGUAAUGAUGAAUAGGAACAGUUGGGGGUAUUCGUAUUCAGCAGCUAGAGGUGAAAUUCUUGGAUUUGCGAAAGACGAACUACUGCGAAGGCAUUUACCAAGGAUGUUUUCAUUGAUCAAGAACGAAAGUUAGGGGAUCGAAGACGAUCAGAUACCG
rnacentral:rRNA from 1 species